rnacentral:siRNA from 1 species
GUUGUACAACGAGUGUAUCAUGGU